AAAUACAAAAAUCGACAGAGAGAAAAGUAGGAUUGUGAUUAAUU
rnacentral:guide_RNA from 1 species